rnacentral:rRNA from 1 species
UACAGAGGUCCCGAGCGUUGUUCGGAUUCACUGGGCGUAAAGGGUGCGUAGGUGGUGAGGAAAGUCGGAUGUGAAAUCUCCGGGCUUAACCCGGAAAUGGCAUUGGAAACUACCUUGCUAGAGGUUUUGAGGGGGGACUGGAAUUCUCGGUGUAGCAGUGAAAUGCGUAGAUAUCGGGAGGAACACCAGUGGCGAAGGCGGCCGGCUGGGGGUGACCUGACGCUGAGGCGCGAAAGCGUGGGGAGCGAACCGG